UAGGGAAUCUUCGGCAAUGGACGGAAGUCUGACCGAGCAACGCCGCGUGAGUGAAGAAGGUUUUCGGAUCGUAAAGCUCUGUUGUUAGAGAAGAACGUUGGUAGGAGUGGAAAAUCUACCAAGUGACGGUAACUAACCAGAAAGGGACGGCUAACUACGUGCCAGCAGCCGCGGUAAUACGUAGGUCCCGAGCGUUGUCCGGAUUUAUUGGGCGUAAAGCGAGCGCAGGCGGUUCUUUAAGUCUGAAGUUAAAGGCAGUGGCUUAACCAUUGUACGCUUUGGAAACGGGAGGACUUGAGUGCAGAAGGGGAGAGGGGAAUUCCAGGUGUAGCGGUGAAAUGCGUAGAUAUAUGGAGGAACACCGGGGGCGAAAGCGGCUCUCUGGUCUGUAACUGACGCUGAGGCUCGAAAGCGUGGGGAGCAAACAGG
rnacentral:rRNA from 1 species